UUUUUUUUUGUGGAAGACUGAUUUAAAAUUGUAUGAAAGAUCUUUAAUUUAUACUUGCUUACAUUAGUAACUGCUCUUUUUGAAACAAACAAGCAUGUAGUUAUAAGAACCUUGCUCAUUGUAGUUAGCUCUGCCUUGUUAUGUGAAAGCCAUAGAGAUUGUCUGCCUUCCUUCACUUCUGCUAACUGGCGGUUCCUCUCCCACCAGGCUUUGUGAUGUUAAGAAGAGAAAUGGACCCUCUGAUGAGAUUAAUCUUUUCCCUUUCCUCAAAUUCAUACAUCAAAGUCCUAGCCCCCAACAUCUCAAAAUGUGACCUUUUUAAAGAUAGAAUAUUAGAUAGUUAAGUUAGAUGAGACUGUUAGGGUGGGCUUUAGUUCAGUAUGACUCAUGUCCAUAGAAGAACUUGAGAAAAUUUAAAUAUAGACA
rnacentral:lncRNA from 1 species